AAGUCGUAACAAGGUAACCGUAGGUGAACCUGCGGUUGGAUCAUUAACAAAAUUAUAAUCCAAAAAGGGAAAAGAGAAAUGUGGGAACCUUUUUUUGGGGACCUAUUUCUUUUUUCUUUUUUUUUCAACACCUUUGUGAAUUGUAACCUGUCUAUUUGGUGAGUUAAAAAAAGUCUGGGUUUUAUUACCCAGUCUUUUUUUUAUUAAAAAAGAGUUAUUUAACUCACUCACCAUAUUUUUAAAACAUAAACAUUUUUAAAAAAAUCAAGUCUUAAUUUAAUUAUUAUAAAAUACUUUAAUAUUAAAAACAACUUUUGACAACGGAUCUCUUGGCUCUU
rnacentral:misc_RNA from 1 species